rnacentral:misc_RNA from 1 species
AGGAAUCAACGGGGGUAUUAAGGAAGGCUGAAAGUGAAUACAAAGGCCACCAUUCAUUGUUCAUGCGGACCCAAAAUCUACUCUCAAAAUGCAAUAUCAGGAUGGUCUUGACAAGUAUAGACGAAAAAAGGGGCUUUUUCUAUCCUUUUGAUUUCUAUAUAUCUUUUUUUACAACUGUAUUGAGUUAUAUUUUGACAGAAUGAUACCUACUGUAGGAUUUUUUGUGGUCUCUUGUGCUGUUCUUUAUGUGAUUUCAAAGCGCAUUGGGCUGCUCAAGUUGCAGACCAAAAGUUGGUGAAGAUGGGAUAGAUUUUGCUCAGGUUUUGGACAAUGUUGUUCCCAUGGUAGGGUACCAUUAGACCCCUUAUGCAUGGCGAACUUAAAGAUUGUAAUUUUUUAUUUUUGAUUUGCUUUAAUGUGAUUUAUAAAUAUUGAUUCUAAAAUGAGAUUGGCUCCUGAAAUUACAAUAUUGAACAAUGCUAGGCAUGAAGCAAGCUGUGGAGAAAUCUACACCUGCGACUUCAAAUUUAUGCGACCAAAGAGACGCCUGAGAAAGUAUCGGAGAACAUUUAUGUCACAGUUGUACAUGCAGCUGAACUUACGAAUAACCAAAACUGAAUAGAUUCGAGUGUUUUCACCGUGCAACAAAUUGUCAUAAUGAAGAAGAAAGGCUAGGAAAGGAAACACACCAAACUAGGGAUACUGAAUUGUGUUUUGAUUUUACAUGUUAGGUG